rnacentral:rRNA from 1 species
GUGCCAGCAGCCGCGGUAACACAUAAGUUGCAAGCGUUGUUCGGAUUCAUUGGGCGUAAAGGGCAUGUAGGCGGUAUAUCAAGUCUGGUGUGAAAUAUCUCGGCUCAACCGAGAAAAUGCACUGGAAACUGAUAAACUAGAGUAUAGGAAGGGAAGCUAGAAUUCCAGGUGUAGGGGUGAAAUCUGUAGAUAUUCGAAGGAACACCAGUGGCGAAGGCGGCUCUCUGGACCGAUACUGACGCUGAGAUGCGAAAGCGUGGGGAGCAAACAGGAUUAGAAACCCCUGUAGUCC